UGUAGGUGAGCUAUAUAGCGUGCUGCGAACUAUUUCCAUCAGAUUUCAUUUCCUUCAGGAAGCGAAUCAUCUGUCGCCUGUAGGAAAGCGUUCUUUUAUCGUGUUCUUAGCUAAUUCCUUCUAAAGAGCAGUUUACUCCUCUUCAGCGGACACGAUGAGCUACAGGAGAUGCAUCGAGCCGUGUGAAAGGUUCAUCGCAGGAGGAGACACUCAUGACAGGUGCGUGCAAUGUUUGGGCCUACAACACGCCCAAGCGGCGCUUAGCGGCCUUUCUGAUUGUCAACACUGUGAUAGCCUAUGGCUAAAAGCACUGCGCUCGAGGUUCGCGGCCUUCUCGAAUAAAGUAGGCCUCGCGUCUAACCCCCGCUAUCCCGUUUCUGCGGGUGCCGAGGCGCCGCAUGAGACGGUCGCUUGGGGUGACGCAUGCGAGCCGAGGCGCUUAGAGGGUGAGACAACGGAGUUCUCUCCUUUUCUCUCGCUCUCUCCAGGCCAUGUGCAAGUGCUCGAAGAGCGCUAUGGGGAUCCGGUGGUCUUCGUCAAUGACAAUUUGCGGCCUACCCCGGAAGCUCGCGAUGCGAUGUCUUUCGGUUGUAUGCAGUAUGACAGAGACGUGCUGUCCACAGCGGCCUCUGAUUCUGAGGAUUUAUUGGGUGAAGUGUGCAGUUCUCUCCCUCUGAGUGGACAGGAGAAAUGCACCUCCCCGUCUUACAGCAAACUAUUAGACGUUGUAACGCGCGCUGUGGAUAAGUUGGGGUUAGAGUGGGAUAGCGAGCUGAUGCAAAAUCAGACCCAGUCAAAACUGGACGAUCGAUUUUUGUCCAGCCGCACUCCGUCUCAACCCCGUAGACCUCUCCCCUUUUUCCAAGACCUCCACCACAAGGUUUCGAGGUCUUGGAAACAACCUUUUUCGGUGCGCAUCACUAAUCCCGCUGCCGCUGAUUUUGCCACGGUUUCUAAAAUGGCGGAUCACGGCUAUGCCGGACGUAGAAGAGACUCUCGCGGCACAUCUCACUCCAAAUUCCGCUCCGUCUUGAAAGUCACGCCCUCUGCUGCCGUCCAAGCCGUGUAGGGUUACUUCCGCUUUGAUCGGAAAAUCUUACAUGGCCGCUGGGCAGGCCGCGGCCACACUACAUUCUAUGGGUGUACUCCAGGCUUAUCAGGCAGAUGUGCUCAAGGAGCUGGACGAGGGAGAAGGCCUGACCCCGGAGGCCGUUAAAGAGCUCAGACGAGCUACUGACUUGGCGCUUAGGGCUACCAAGCACACGGCUCGGGCAGUGGGCAGGUCCAUGGCAGGUUUAGUGUCAGCUGAGCGCCAACUUUGGCUCACUCUCACUGACAUUAAGGAGAAGGACAGGACCUUUCUCUUGAACGCCCCCAUUUCGAGUGACGGCCUGUUCGGAGAUUCGGUCACUACAGUCGUGGAGAAGUUUCGAGCAGCGAAACAGCAGUCCGCCGCGUUUCGACAGCUCAUCCUGCGCAGGGCUAGGGAAGUAGAGCGUCAGCCACCUGCGGCUCGUUCACGCUCGUCCUCUUUACAGCGUCGCAAGGCCCAGCGGCAUGAGCCAUCACCUAAGGUACCCCCUCGUAAGGAUUGGGGUCCUAGGUCUCGCUCACCUGCUCACACACGACAACGAAAGCGGUUAGACCUGAGUUCGACGGCCAAGACCUCUCGUUCUCAGGCUCCUAAUAGCAGUUCCUGAUUCCUCUGCUCGUCUUCGGAGGCCAGGCCCUCCUUUAGAGAGUGUGGACGAACUGCACAAGCGUAUUCGCCUCUCUCGCUGUGGCCUCCUGACUCUGAUCUUGACGGUCCUGCCGCAUAUUGCGCCUCAGGCAGUUUUAGGUCGAGUCCUUACGACGAGCACCCCCUCGGAUACUCUGCGCGUUCCAGCCUUCAGAGUUCGAAAGAAAGCCCAAGGGUCAUGCGAGCAUGGCCCGUUUAUGACGGCCUCCAAAGCCCCCACUUUUGGGGUGGUGGGUAGGCCCGACAGGACAAUCAGAAAACAUCUUCCCAUUAUAGCUUUUUCCACCACUCAGGUGCUUUGGGAUCCUAUACGGGAGAAUCAGGUGUACGUUCCAACCGUAGAACCGUAGAGUGGUGGCCCACUCAGUCGUGGUUCUCGGACCUGGUCAGUCUGCUAGCCGGCCCUCCAUGGGAGGUUCCCCUCAGACACGAUCUGUUGACGCAAGCCUGAGGCAUGAUCUGGCAUCCUCGACCGGUAUUAUGGAGGUUAUGGGCGUGGCCACUGAGCGGAGUACGCUAAUGUGUUCUGGUCUCUCGGCUGAGAUUACCGACACUAUUAUGAAUUCUAGGGCUCCCUCCACGAGACGCUUAUAUGCUUUCAAGUGGAGACGUUUUGCCUCUUGGUGUAGUCAGCGCAUUUUGGAUCCAGUCCACUGCCCUAUCGGUUCAGUACUGGAGUUUCUUCAGAGUCGUUUCUCUGAAGGGGUUACUCCCGCCACUCUUAAAGUGUACGUGGCGGCCAUAUCGGUGGGACAUGCACUCGUAGGAGGUGUUUCGGUUGGUCGUCACCCCCUGGUCUCAAGUUUUAUGCAGGGUUCGAGACGGUUCGAGGUUCCGCCCAGCCCGAGUUCCUUCUUGGGACUUAUCGAUUGUGUUGGAGGGCCUGACAGGCCAUCCCUUUGAACUGAUGGAGUCUGUGUCAGAGAAGCUCUUGACCCUCAAGACGGUUCUUUUGAUGGCUUUAUCCUCCCUUAAGAGAGUAGGGGAUCUGCAGGCUCUCUCCAUCAGUCCUUCAUGUAUGGACUUUGCCCCAGGACUGGUUAAAGUCUUUUUGCGACCUAGGCCUGAUUAUGUUCCGAAGGUCGCUUUGAAUCCAUUUCGCUUUCAGCAAGUGGUCUUGGAGGCUUUUUCCCCAGCUGAGGAGGGGGUCAGUUAGCCUGAAUCUCUGUCCAGUUAGGGCACUUAGGAUCUAUGUCGACCACACAGUUCAGUGGCGUGGAUCUGACCAGUUGUUUGUGUGUUUUGGUAGUAAGAGCAGAGGUUCUGCUGUCACUAAACAGCGGAUGUCACACUGGAAAGUGGAAGCUAUUUCUUUGGCCUAUGAGGCGCGUGGCUUGACCCCGCCUCUAGGGGUACGUGCUCAUUCCACAAGAGCAGUGGCUUCUCCUCAGGCCUUCUUCAAGGGGUCCUCGACGGAAGAUGUUUGUGCUGCGGCAGGAUGGUCCUCUCCUAGCACCUUCAUCAAGUUUUACAGUCUGGACGUGAGGAUGGCUCCCGGGUCUUAUCCGAUUGAGCAGACGCUUUCCUUGGUCUACUAGCUAUCUAAGGUACGACAGGCGUUAUGGUAUAGCGUUCCC